GACAAAGUCAAGGAGACUUCAAAGAUGAGAAAUGAUUGCACUGGGCCUUAGAGAGGAAGUUCAGCAGAACAAGUAAGAGGCACUGAUGGUGAACAAAUAUAGAGACUGGAAUCCAGUGACGUCACACAGGCGCUCUGGAAGCCAGUGAUGCAGUAUCAGAAUCUGGGAACACAAUGAGGCAAUGUUUCAGCUGCUUGUGCAUUCUUCACCUCCCAUUGUCUCUGUCUCUCUCUUUCUCCUCUGCUUCCCCUCACCCCACAACCAAAGUCAAGAGCGCAGACCCCAUGAUCACCUGAUACUUCCAAGCAAGCAGGUGUUCUUUUCAGAAGCCAGAAGCUGAUAACCUGGGCUUUCUGAUCUAACCCCAGCCCAAAUUCAUUGCAAUGGAGGAAUUGGGGAGGAGAUUCUUCCUACUGAGAAGUGGGUGCCAACUCUCCCUUUCAAAUUUGUUCAUCAACAAACUAAAGGGGAUGCCAGAAAUGUCUGGAGCAAUGGAAGAACCACUGGAAUAAUGCUCCUGCCUGAUUGUAUCUACUUAACCCACUCUCCAAGAGCCAGAAUCAGAUUUCAACCGUAUGGAAUCAUCUACAAUGCAGCAGAUGGGUUUACAAGUCUCUUGGUCUCUUCAUGAAGAAGGCGCAGCAAUCGUGUCCCAAGUCCUUGAGGACUUCACAGGGUGUUCUAGUGUCCUGAGAAUAUACCUGCCUAAGGGCGUAUCUGUUAGGGAGACUCCCAUGAGGGAGGGGAGCCGAGGGAAGAGGCUGAGUGAGGUGAAGAGAGUGUGUUUGUCCCUCCAGCUGUGCCAGGGUCUUCUCAGCCCUUCUCACAGAGGGCUGUCUGUGGACCUCUGUUCCUGGAAUCACCCCUCUGCACCACCCAAACUCCCUGAUUAUGAAUUACACAAUACAUCCCUAAUUCAAGCAUGCUGCACCGGUUUUCUGUAGUCACAUGAAAAUUAACUUACAGAAAUUCACUUUUAUUGAAUACCUACUGUGUGGUAGGCACUGUGGUGGGAUUCUGCCAUUCGAGAAUCUCAGACUAAGAUCAUCUGUUUCAACAAGCAUCGAUCAAGCACCCACAUUGCAGCUGGCACUCUGCUUGAUGGUGAGAUGAGUGUCAAGACCAGUUCCUUAUUUUACAGGGAAGGCCAUCAAGGUUGAAAGUGGAAAUUUCCCAAGGUCAGAGACAGAGUGGUAGAGCCAGUCCAUGCAUUCUGGUCUCCUGUCUCCUGUUCCAGUGCUCAUUCGUGACACUGCUGCUCUCCCUAACACUUCAUCCCACGAGAAUACUCUUGAGAAUAUUGUUCUUGGCUGUUCCAAAUAGAAAGAUCAUCUGUCCAUUAUUCAGGUGAUAUGGGCUGAGGUCUUGCCUCUUCUAGUCACUUGGAGAAAGUUCCAGAAGCAAAGACUAUGUACCUAAUAUUCCUUUAACUCUGUUUUCCUGGGGCCAUAUUUAACUGUGGGUGUUUUCUGUUUCAACUGGUGGCCUGUGGGAAAGAGGUAGUGCCUGGCAGGCUGGCCAAGGACACGGGGACUAAAGAACAAUGUUGGAAGGAGAUGGGGGCAGCGUGAGGGAGGAGGCGAAGACAUAUUGUGGGGGAGUCUUCACCCCAAUUGAAGUCACCUAAAAUCACUCCUUUGUAACUAGAAGACUAAGAAAC
rnacentral:lncRNA from 1 species